CUCCUGAAAUGUCGGAAUUUUACCUUAUUUUUUUUUAAGUUUUGCAUUUUAAUAACUAAACUUUUUUUUCUUUCUGGCCUGAGUAAAAUAGGGACAUAAUUGUCCUGGCUGAUGGGCCUGUGAUGUGUCACAUUAACGCUGCUGCAGAAUUUAGGAAACUUAAUGACUGAAAGUGUUAACUAUUAACCUGAGCCCGCCAGGGAAAGCCGCCUUUGUGUUGGUGCGCGGUCGCACGCUUGUGUUUCUUCUGACAACAAUAGCGAGGCCGGGACCGAGGCCAGGAGAAGAGGGAGGUGCACGGUUUUGCCUGUGACGUUUACAGGCCGGGGUAGCGGGUGUGGGUGGAUCAAGAGUCGCGUUCUCUGAGAACAUACUCCUCUGAAAGUAUUUCAUUUGAAGUCAUGUGUAGAGGGAGUCACGAAAUCCUUUUUUCUUUCUUUUUUUUUUAUUUCAGAGAGGAAGGGAGAGGGAUAGAGAGAGAAACAUCAAUGAGAGAGAAUCAUUCGUUGAUUGGCUGCCUCCCGCACGCCCCCUACUGUGGGGUGGGGCCCGCAGCCGGGGCACGUGCCCUUGGCCGGAGUCCAACCUGGGACAGCUCUGUCCGCAGGCUGACGCUCUACCCACUGCGCCACACCAGUGAGGGCCAUUUUUUUCUAACAGCGUUAAUCAUGACACCUGCUGCUCUGGAAGAGAUUGGCGAUCGCAUAGCUCACUUUGCAGGUCGUUGGAAGGAAGUUCCUGGGGUUCUGUCCAUGUGAAAGCUUAAGCUGGAAAGGCAGAGCAUAUGUCCAUCAUUUGUAACUGUUUUUGGAUUUGGCUGUGAAAUCACCCUCUGCUAAGCUCUCCUUGUUCUUCAAGGCGAGCACAUGCUGUGACUAAUUUCUGUUCACUCAGAACUUAAAAGUGUUUCUUUAAACAUUGUACAGAGCUGAGUGUAAAAAUCUUAAUUUUUCUUUAAUAGAAAGUUCUGCUUUGUGGUGUUUUUUUAAGGGUUGAAGGAAGGUAUGAACAUAGUAAGUUAGCUUACAAUUUCUCUCUGUAAACAAAGUUCGAGUUCCCCAGAAAGUUUUCCUGGCUGAAGAAAGAAAAGGUGAGUCAUUUAAGAUUAUUAUUGAUUUCAGAGAAGGGAAAGGAGGAGAGAGAGAAAGAGAGAAACAUCAAUGAUGAGAGAGAAUCAUUGAUCAGUUGCCUCCUGCAUGCACCCUACAGGGAUCGGGCCCACACUCUCCGCUCGGCCAAACUGGCUACUUAAUCUUUGCUUUUUUAAUAAACCAAUUGGAUGAAAUACUAUGCCUACUUACCUUCUAAAUUGUUUAUUUCUUUCCUUAUCAAUGUCUGUCUAUAUUUUGGUCUGCCUUAAAAUUAUUUUAAUAUAAACAGUUCCAAUUUUAACUCCAGUUUGGGACAUCACAUGUAAUAAACAUUUUAUUUUCUUCCUCUCAGAGAUCAACAGGUAAGUCCUCGUCUCAGUGUUCCUUAAGGAGCAAGCCUGUCCAUUUUCCCAAAGGAAAAAGAGGGUCAGUGGCCUUUUCCAUUCGUUUAUGUAAUACAUCUUUGGUUUUAUAGUAGAUCUGUUUGUUGCCAUAAUUAAUCCAUUUAAAGCCUAAAAGAAGGUAAAGCUUUUGAUGUAUUGAUUACCAUACUGCAGGUUAGACAUGCUGUUUUCCAAGCAUGUAUAUCCAACGUGUGCUCCUGACUUGGAUAAUUUCCUUAGAAGCAUUUUGAAAGUAGAAGCAUACAUUAGAGAAAUGUGUUAAUUUAUUUUGGUUUUUUUCUGACUAUUAAUAUUUAAAAGUGGUAUUAUUUCAACCCUAGCUGGUUUGGCUCAGCAGAUAGAGAGCGCAUCGGUCUGCAGACUAAAAGGUUCGGGUUGGAUUCUGGUCAAGGGCAUAUGCCCACUUUGCGGUCUCGAUCCCCAGUAGGGGGCCUGCAGGAAGCAGCCAAUGAUUCUCUCGACGUUUCUCCCCUCUCCCUUCCUCUUUAAAACCAAUUAAAAUAUUUUUAAAUAA